AAUGAACGCUGGCGGCAGGCCUAACACAUGCAAGUCGAGCGGAAACACGAGGAGCUUUCUCUCUUAACGUUAGCGGGGGGCGGGUGAGUGACACGUGGAUCACAUUCCUCUAUGACUGGGGUAACUUCGUGGAAAAGGUGAUAAUAAUGGCUCAUACUUUGAACCGCAUGGAUCAGUAGUGAUAGGCGGUUUGGCUGACACUUAUAGCCGAUGCCGGGCCGGAUUAGCUAGUUGGUAAGGUAACGGCUAACCAAGGCGACGAUGCGUAGCUGGUCUGAGAGGAUGAUCAGCCACACUGGAACUGAGACACGGUCCAGACUCCUACGGGAGGCAGCAGUAGGGAAUAUUGCACAAUGGGCGCAAGCCUGAUGCAGCCAUGCCGCGUGUGUGAAGAAGGCCUUCGGGUUGUAAAGCUCUGUUAUUGGGGAAGAACAGAUGUAUGUGAAUCUCUGCACGUCCUGACGGUACCCAAAGAAAAAGCCACGGCUAACUACGUG
rnacentral:rRNA from 1 species